AAACUAUGGAGUGGACAGCUCCUUAGUAAAUCCUUGAAACGUUCCCAACAAUCGUAAAAAGUCUCAUUCUUUUACUGAAGAAACCCAGCUAUAUUAUUCCUCAACUU